rnacentral:rRNA from 1 species
GAUGAACGCUGGCGGUAUGCUUAACACAUGCAAGUCGAACGGACUCUUCGGAGUUGGUGGCGGACUGGUGGGUAACGCGUGAGAAACUGGCUUGGGGUUCGGGACAACCACUGGAAACGGUGGCGAAUACCGGAUGUGCCGAGAGGUAAGAGAGAAAUUGCCUGAAGAUGCGCUCGCGUCUGAUUAGCUAUUUGGUGAGGUAAGGGCUCACGAAGGUAGCGAUGAGUAGCAGGUCUGAGUGGAUGAUCAGCCACACUGGCUCUGAGACACGGCCAAGGCUAAUAUGGGAGGCAGGAGUGGGGAUUUCUCCACCGCUGGCGAAUGCCUGACGGAGCUAUACCGCGUGAGGGAAGAAGGAUCUUGGGUUGUAAACCACUUUCCUAAGGGAAGAACAUUAUGACGGUACCUAAGGAAUAAGCACCGGCUAACUCCGUG